CCAUUAAUGGGUGACAGCGGGCCUUUUGUAGAAUGACCCGGCGAGUUACGAUUUGUUGCAAGGAUAAGCGGAAAAAGCGGAGCCGUAGCGAAAGCGAGUCUGAAUAGUGCGCAUAAGUAACAGGUCGUAGACCCGAAACCAGGUGAUCUACCCAUGUCCAGGAUGAAGGUAAGGUAAUUCUUACUGUAGGGCCGCACCCACGCUCAUUGAAAAGUGCGGGGAUGAGGUGUGGGUAGCGGAGAAAUGCCAAUCGAACGUGGAGAUAGCUGGUUCUCUCCGAAAUAGCUUUAGUGCUAGCCUCGAGGUAAAGAGUCAUGGAG
rnacentral:rRNA from 1 species